CCAGGCUGUCUCCACCCGAGACUCAGUGAAAUUGAACUCGCUGUGAAGAUGCAGUGUACCCGCGGCAAGACGGAAAGACCCCGUGAACCUUUACUAUAGCUUGACACUGAACAUUGAGCCUUGAUGUGUAGGAUAGGUGGGAGGCUUUGAAGUGUGGACGCCAGUCUGCAUGGAGCCGACCUUGAAAUACCACCCUUUAAUGUUUGAUGUUCUAACGUUGACCCGUAAUCCGGGGUGCGGACAGUGUCUGGUGGGUAGUUUGACUGGGGCGGUCUCCUCCUAAAGAGUAACGGAGGAGCACGAAGGUUGGCUAAUCCUGGUCGGACAUCAGGAGGUUAGUGCAAUGGCAUAAGCCAGCUUGACUGCGAGCGUGACGGCGCGAGCAGGUGCGAAAGCAGGUCAUAGUGAUCCGGUGGUUCUGAAUGGAAGGGCCAUCGCUCAACGGAUAAAAGGUACUCCGGGGAUAACAGGCUGAUACCGCCCAAGAGUUCAUAUCGACGGCGGUGUUUGGCACCUCGAUGUCGGCUCAUCACAUCCUGGGGCUGAAGUAGGUCCCAAGGGUAUGGCUGUUCGCCAUUUAAAGUGGUACGCGAGCUGGGUUUAGAACGUCGUGAGACAGUUCGGUCCCUAUCUGCCGUGGGCGCUGGAGAACUGAGGGGGGCUGCUCCUAGUACGAGAGGACCGGAGUGGACGCAUCACUGGUGUUCGGGUUGUCAUGCCAAUGGCACUGCCCGGUAGCUAAAUGCGGAAGAGAUAAGUGCUGAAAGCAUCUAAGCACGAAACUUGCCCCGAGAUGAGUUCUCCCUGACUCCUUGAGAGUCCUGAAGGAACGUUGAAGACGACGACGUUGAUAGGCCGGGUGUGUAAGCGCAGCGAUGCGUUGAGCUAACCGGUACUAAUGAACCGUGAGG
rnacentral:rRNA from 1 species